AUACUUUUUUACUGGGUACUGAUGACGCAUUUAUAUAAUUGGGUAAAAUCUGUGAUAAUUCAGAAUAGUCGAAGAACAUAAACCAAAUAUUUUAAGAAAGAGGCAUAUACAUUAUUUUGUCAGUACCAAUAGAAGUUUCAAGAUGUUUAGUUUAGUUAAGUUACUUGCUUUGUUUCUGUCAGCCCUGGCAUUUUUGUCUCAAUUAUCAGCUUUUCCAAACGACUACGCUCCAAACCAUGCCGGUCCCAUCCAAUUCGGAAGCCAACAUUUAGGACCUCCUAGAUCUUCGCACUUGGGACCUCCAAGAGGAGGACAACAUGUAGAAUCGCAAGCAAAAGCUGAGGCCGUUUAUUAUUAGUAAUAUUUUCUAUUCUUGUAAAUAAAAUUAUUUAGGUGAAAUUAA